UGGGGAAUAUUGCACAAUGGGCGCAAGCCUGAUGCAGCCAUGCCGCGUGUAUGAAGAAGGCCUUCGGGUUGUAAAGUACUUUCAGUCGGGAGGAAGGUGGUAAGGUUAAUAACCUUGGCAAUUGACGUUACCGACAGAAGAAGCACCGGCUAACUCCGUGCCAGCAGCCGCGGUAAUACGGAGGGUGCAAGCGUUAAUCGGAAUUACUGGGCGUAAAGUGCACGCGGGCGGUUGAUUGAGUCAGAUGUGAAAUCCCCGGGCUUAACCCGGGAAUUGCAUCUGAUACUGGUCAGCUAGAGUCUUGUAGAGGGGGGUAGAAUUCCAUGUGUAGCGGUGAAAUGCGUAGAGAUGUGGAGGAAUACCGGUGGCGAAGGCGGCCCCCUGGACAAAGACUGACGCUCAGGUGCGAAAGCGUGGGGAGCAAACAGG
rnacentral:rRNA from 1 species